rnacentral:rRNA from 1 species
UGAGGUAACGGCUCACCAAGUCUACGAUCUUUAGGGGGCCCUAGAGGGUGAUCCCCCACACUGGUACUGAGACACGGACCAGACUCCUACGGGAGGCAGCAGUGACGAAGAUUGGACUAUGGGUGAGAGCCUGAUCCAGCCAUCCCGCGGGAGUGAGGACGGCCCUCGGAUUUGUAAUCUUCUUUUGUUUCGGGAUGGACCUACCCUCUUGAGGGUAGCUGAAGGUACUAUACGAAUACUCACCGAACAACUCCGUGCCAACUCCCCCGCUACUACCGAGGGUACACGCAUUGUGCUGAUUUAUUGUGUUGAAAGGGUCCGUAGGCUGAUCUGUUUGUCAUUGUUGAAAUCUCAUAGCUGAACUGUAACUCUGCCAUUGAUACUGCACUUAUUGACUGUUGUUGAAGUAAGUGGAAUGAAUUUUGUAGCGUUGAAAUGCAUAGAUAUUACUUAGAACACCAAAUGAGAAGGCAGGUCACUAACCAACACCUGAACCUAAUGGACGAUAGCGUGGCGAGCGAACAGGAUUAGAUACCGUGGUAUUCCACGCCAUACACGAUGCUAACUCAUUUUUGUGGCGCAAGCUUCAGAUACUAACCGAAAGUGAUAAGUUAACCACCUGAGUCGUACGAACGCAAGUUUGAAACUCAAGGAAUUGACGGGGGCCCGCGCAAGCGGUGGAUUAUGUGGUUUAAUUCUAUGAUUCGCGAGGAUGCUUACCCAGGCAUAAUGCGAAAUGACAGGUUUAGAGAUAGACUUUUCUUCGGACAUUUUUCAAGGUGCUGCAUGGUUGUCGUCAGCUCGUGCCGUG